rfam:Triticum aestivum genome assembly, contig: Triticum_aestivum_CS42_TGACv1_scaffold_220919_3B
CAUAUACUCCCUCCGUUCGAAAAUACUUAUCGAAGAAAUAGAUAAAAAAUGGAUGUAUUUAAAACUAAAAUACAUCUAGAUACAUCCAUUUCUCUUACAAGUAUUCUCGGACGGAGGAAGUAUAUA